ensembl:lncRNA
CUUUAGUUUAGUAUCCAGUUAUAACACAUGACUUUAGUUUAGUAUCCAGUUAUAACACAUGACUUUAGUUUAGUAUCCAGUUAUAACACAUGAAUUGAGUUUAGUAUCCAGUUAUAACACAUGACUUUAGUUUAGUAUCCAGUUAUAACACAUGACUUUAGUUUAGUAUCCAGUUAUAACACAUGACUUUAGUUUAGUAUCCAGUUAUAACACAUGACUUGAGUUUAGUAUCCAGUUAUAACACAUGACUUGAGUUUAGUAUCCAGUUAUAACACAUGACUUUAGUUUAGUAUCCAGUUAUUACACAUGACUUUAGUUUAGUAUCCAGUUAUAACACAUGACUUUAGUUUAGUAUCCAGUUAUUACACAUGAAUUGAGUUUAGCAACAAAAGCACAUGUAUAGAACAUGUAUGGACAUGUGUUUCAGGGACUUCAGGAGAACAACACAACAGACAACAGACAACGGUUCUGCAGGUAGUGGAGAACAACACAACAGACAACAGACAACGGUUCUGCAGGUAGUGGAGAACAACACAACAGACAACAGACAACGGUUCUGCAGGUAGUGGAGAACAACACAACAGACAACACAGACAACGGUUCUGUAGGUAGUGGAGAACAACACAACAGACAACACAGACAACGGUUCUGCAGGUACGACAUAUGAGUAGACAGUUUAAUAGAUCCUGUAUAUGCAAGCAUCAUAGCAUACCAGUGAUGAUACGGAAGGCAGUGGCAGGAAGAUCAGGUUAGAAACCUGCCCAGAUAAAUGGACUGAUUUGGUGUUCCUGUCUCCACUUGUCUCUUUAGUCUCUGCUAUUCCGAAAUGUCUGCAUGCUUUUCCAGCACUUUUUCAUGUCAACAUAGUUUAACACCAGAUUGCUGACUAACACCAAAAUGGUUAGUAUGGACAUAUUAGUCCUUGUGUGUAUCCUGUGGUCUGGGAAUUGGAGGGGUUAACACUUCCUGCCAAGCCACAUAUUUAAACUCUAUUCUUCAGUAGGUGCUACUCGAGAGCGGCGAGACUCAGAGCAAACAACUAGUAUUGUAAAGGGAUAAUCCCUAUGGAACACCUGCCAACAUCAUCUGUGUGCUUACAGUUGCUCAUAUUCCCUCUUUUUCUAAACGUGUUGGGAGAAUGACUCUUCAGUCACCGAUAUGUCACCGAUAUGACAUCACACUCUCCCUGGCGGCAGGGUAGCCUAGUGGUUAGAGCGUUGGACUAGUAACCGGAAGGUGGGUUCUGAUAUGCUAAAGAGAAGACCUGGCAACAUUCUCUAGUGGUUCUGAUAUGCUAAAGAGAACACCUGGCAACAUUCUCUAGUGGUUCUGAUAUGCUAAAGAGAACACCUGGCAACAUUCUCUAGUGGUUCUGAUAUGCUAAAGAGAACACC